rnacentral:misc_RNA from 1 species
GCAAACUUGGUCAUUUAGAGGAAGUAAAAGUCGUAACAAGGUUUCCGUAGGUGAACCUGCGGAAGGAUCAUCACUGAUUCAGGGGGAGAGCGUAGCGUGUGUGUGCGUGCGUCGUGUGUUCUUUUUUCACGCGCGCGCGCAUGCACACCGCGCCACCCCAACCAAUCUUUUGUGCACGGUUUCACGGUCAACGAGACGCCGCGUGUGUGUGUUGGCGAGUGUGUGGCACAACACUACUACUACUCGCCAACCGCAUACGUCUAUGCGCGCUCUCUGCCUGCAAUCUCUUAUGCAAUCUCUGUCUAACAUUUAUUACCCAUAAAUAUUAACACACACAACUUUCAACAAUGGAUCUCUUGGCUCUCGCAUCGAUGAAGAACGCAGC